UGGGGGAUAUUGCACAAUGGGCGAAAGCCUGAUGCAGCGACGCCGCGUGGGGGAUGAAGGCUUUCGGGUUGUAAACCUCUUUCGCUAUCGAACAAGGCCCGCUUAGGGUGGGUUGAGGGUAGGUGGAGAAGAAGCGCCGGCUAACUACGUGCCAGCAGCCGCGGUAAUACGUAGGGCGCGAGCGUUGUCCGGAACUAUUGGGCGUAAAGGGCUUGUAGGCGGCUUGUUGCGCCUGCUGUGAAAACGCGGGGCGUAACUUCGCGCGUGCAGUGGGUACGGGCAGGCUUGAGUGUGGUAGGGGUGACUGGAAUUCCAGGUGUAGCGGUGGAAUGCGCAGAUAUCUGGAGGAACACCGAUGGCGAAGGCAGGUCACUGGGCCAUUACUGACGCUGAGGAGCGAAAGCAUGGGUAGCGAACAGG
rnacentral:rRNA from 1 species